rnacentral:rRNA from 1 species
AUUGAACGCUGGCGGCAUGCCUUACACAUGCAAGUCGAACGGUAACGCGGGGCAACCUGGCGACGAGUGGCGAACGGGUGAGUAAUGCAUCGGAACGUGCCCAGGAGUGGGGGAUAGCCCGGCGAAAGCCGGAUUAAUACCGCAUACGACCUACGGGUGAAAGCGGGGGACCGUAAGGCCUCGUGCCAUUGGAGCGGUCGAUGUCAGAUUAGGUUGGUGGUGGGGGAAAAGCCUACCAAGCCGACGAUCUGUAGCUGGUCUGAGAGGACGACCAGCCACACUGGGACUGAGACACGGCCCAGACUCCUACGGGAGGCAGCAGUGGGGAAUUUCGGACAAUGGGGCAACCCUGAUCCAGCCAUGCCGCGUGCGGGAAGAAGGCCUUCGGGUUGUAAACCGCUUUUGUCAGGGAAGAAACGCUCUGGGCUGAUACCCCGGGGUAAUGGCGGUACCUGAAGAAUAAGCACCGGCUAACUACGUGCCAGCCGCCGCGGUAACAC